UACGUAGGGUGCGAGCGUUAAUCGGAAUUACUGGGCGUAAAGUGUGCGCAGGCGGCCGCGCAAGUCGAGUGUGAAAGCCCCGAGCUUAACUUGGGAAUUGCGCUCGAAACUACGUGGCUGGAGUGUGGCAGAGGAAGGUGGAAUUCCAGGUGUAGCGGUGAAAUGCGUAGAGAUCUGGAGGAACACCGAUGGCGAAGGGCA
rnacentral:rRNA from 1 species